rnacentral:lncRNA from 1 species
AUGUUUUCUCCCUAGGGCUUUCGUUAUCAUUUCUUAGCUCGGCACACCCCUUCACUUUGUUGUCACUCACUUGAUACUUUGGGAUAUGUUCAUUGAUCAUCUUUUUACACUGUACACCUAUCACGGGCUUAGUAUCUCAUCAUUUGUUUGAUUCUUGGUUCGAUUUUCAACUUGAUGCUCAUAUUUUCAUUACAGAAAGGUGAAAG